CAUUCAUCUUCUUCAACUUCCACUUAUUCUUAGCUGAAACACGUUCAUCUCCCAUAAUUUGGGAUUUCUGAAUUGCAGUGGUCCACUCGUCUAGCACAUCAUCCAUAUCGUAGGAGAUGUUUUUGAGCUUCUGCAUCCAAAGUUUGACUGCAUCAUUCUUCAGUUGUUUAUUCUCGGCAUCCACCAGAACGGCCUUGAUGAGCUGGAAUUGGGUGGUCAGCAUUUGAACUUCUUUCUUGACACCCACAACGAGGCUCACCUCUUGUUCUAUCUCACUAGCAAUGAUUGAGAUUAAUUCUUCCAAGACUUUGGAAACAAGUGCGUCAGCCAUAGUUGAAAGCUGUUGUGUAAUUGAUUGAUCAGAAAGGAGAAUUGAAAAA
rnacentral:misc_RNA from 1 species